UACGAAGGGGGCUAGCGUUGCUCGGAAUUACUGGGCGUAAAGGGCGCGUAGGCGGAUAGUUUAGUUGGGGGUGAAAGCCCGGGGCUCAACCUCGGAAUUGCCUUCAAUACUGGCUGUCUUGAGUGUGAGAGAGGUGUGUGGAACUCCGAGUGUAGAGGUGAAAUUCGUAGAUAUUCGGAAGAACACCAGUGGCGAAGGCGACACACUGGCGUCACUACUGACGCUGAGGCGCGAAAGCGUGGGGAGCAAACAGG
rnacentral:rRNA from 1 species